GUAGCUCAAUCGGUAGAGCGUGUGGCUCUUAUGAAGAAUCACCUCAAGGUUGCGGGUUCGAGUCCCGCC
rnacentral:tRNA from 1 species